rfam:Danio rerio chromosome 24, GRCz11 reference primary assembly.
GUAGGCUAUGGAGAUAUAUACCCUCAGACUCUGCUUGGUAAAAUAGUCGGUGGACUUUGCUGCAUUGCUGGAGUGCUGGUUAUUGCCUUACCCAUCCCUAUUAUUGUGAAUAAC